rnacentral:rRNA from 1 species
UUUGAUCCUGGCUCAGAUUGAACGCUGGCGGCAUGCCUUACACAUGCAAGUCGAACGGCAGCAUAGGAGCUUGCUCCUGAUGGCGAGUGGCGAACGGGUGAGUAAUAUAUCGGAACGUGCCCUAGAGUGGGGGAUAACUAGUCGAAAGACUAGCUAAUACCGCAUACGAUCUACGGAUGAAAGUGGGGGAUCGCAAGACCUCAUGCUCCUGGAGCGGCCGAUAUCUGAUUAGCUAGUUGGUGGGGUAAAAGCCUACCAAGGCGACGAUCAGUAGCUGGUCUGAGAGGACGACCAGCCACACUGGGACUGAGACACGGGCCCAGACUCCUACGGGAGGCAGCAGUGGGGAAUUUUGGACAAUGGGGGCAACCCUGAUCCAGCAAUGCCGCGUGAGUGAAGAAGGCCUUCGGGUUGUAAAGCUCUUUUGUCAGGGAAGAAACGGUAGUAGCUAAUAUCUAUUACUAAUGACGGUACCUGAAGAAUAAGCACCGGCUAACUACGUGCCAGCAGCCGCGGUAAUACGUAGGGUGCAAGCGUUAAUCGGAAUUACUGGGCGUAAAGCGUGCGCAGGCGGUUGUGUAAGUCAGAUGUGAAAUCCCCGGGCUCAACCUGGGAAUUGCAUUUGAGACUGCACGGCUAGAGUGUGUCAGAGGGGGGUAGAAUUCCACGUGUAGCAGUGAAAUGCGUAGAUAUGUGGAGGAAUACCGAUGGCGAAGGCAGCCCCCUGGGAUAACACUGACGCUCAUGCACGAAAGCGUGGGGAGCAAACAGGAUUAGAUACCCUGGUAGUCCACGCCCUAAACGAUGUCUACUAGUUGUCGGGUCUUAAUUGACUUGGUAACGCAGCUAACGCGUGAAGUAGACCGCCUGGGGAGUACGGUCGCAAGAUUAAAACUCAAAGGAAUUGACGGGGACCCUGCACAAGCGGUGGAUGAUGUGGAUUAAUUCGAUGCAACGCGAAAAACCUUACCUACCCUUGACAUGGAUGGAAUCCUGAAGAGAUUUGGGAGUGCUCGAAAGAGAACCAUCACACAGGUGCUGCAUGGCUGUCGUCAGCUCGUGUCGUGAGAUGUUGGGUUAAGUCCCGCAACGAGCGCAACCCUUGUCAUUAGUUGCUACGAAAGGGCACUCUAAUGAGACUGCCGGUGACAAACCGGAGGAAGGUGGGGAUGACGUCAAGUCCUCAUGGCCCUUAUGGGUAGGGCUUCACACGUCAUACAAUGGUACAUACAGAGGGCCGCCAACCCGCGAGGGGGAGCUAAUCCCAGAAAGUGUAUCGUAGUCCGGAUUGGAGUCUGCAACUCGACUCCAUGAAGUUGGAAUCGCUAGUAAUCGCGGAUCAGCAUGUCGCGGUGAAUACGUUCCCGGGUCUUGUACACACCGCCCGUCACACCAUGGGAGCGGGUUUUACCAGAAGUGGGUAGCCUAACCGCAAGGAGGGCGCUCACCACGGUAGGAUUCGUGACUGGGGUGAAGUCGUAACAAGGUAACCA